AAGAACCACUGUAAUCCAAAAGUUGUACUUAUGAAAUUUAUAUUUAUUAAAUAAAAGUUUUCUAUAAAACAAAGGAAAGCUGACAAGAAUUGGGUCCGCUGGUCUUUACAGGCUGUAGUUAACUACAUACCCUAUACCUGUAAAACGGUCAUGUAAUCUUAGUAGAAAUUCUAAGCAUUUCAGUUUACCUACAAGUUAACCAAGGCAUAUUUUCACUAUACCUAAACUCCUACAUGUAGAUACUUUGAAAAAUCUAAGUGUAAAGGGUAUCAUGACUGCCUCACUUCUAAUGAAUAAAAUCCAGCGGAAGUACAGGACACCGACUCGAAGAUUCGGUGAGCGAGAGUGUGGUUUCCACCUUGGACGUGUUCUCUCGCUUUCCCACUCAUUCGUUCCGAGGGAAGCCCGGUACCUGUUGUGAGGCACCCUGUGGAGGGACCCAUGCAGCUGGGAACCUGGGGAGGCACCUGGCCCACAGCCAGUGAGGGACAGGGCGCCCAGGAACUGGAUCCUCCCCCAGCUGAGCCUGUCCACAAGCCUGCAGUGUAGCCUGGCAGUUUGGCCGCAACCUCAUGAGACAUCUUGAGCUAAAGGCGCCCAGCCAUGCUGUGCCUGGGCUUCCAAUCCAUACAAACUGUGAGAUAAUAACGCGUGUGUAAUUUUUUAAGUGGCGAUGUUUUGGGUGAAAUUUAUUAUCCAGCCAUAGAUAGCUCACGUAAGAUUUCUCUUUCCAGUUGUAUUUUACUCAUUUUCUAAAUAAAUGGCUUGCACUUGAGUUGCCAGUGCACGCUCUGCUUCUCAGAGGAGCUCACACUGAGAACACACACGAAGAAACGGAGACCCAGAGAGAUGGAGAGAAGCAGGCGUCCUGCUCUGGGCUGGUGAUGGAGACAGGACCAGGACACGGAGUCUGAGUCUGGUGCUCACAGCGCCACUUCCCAAGGCUUGCUGGGGAAGGAGCAGGCUUUGUGCUGAAGAUUCCGAGUUUGCAGAGUUCUGGAGCAUCUCUGCAGGACUGCUUAUCUUUCUUGCCAGUGGGGCCUGGCUACCUCCAGUAGAUGGAAGAUCCACUUUAGCUCUGAGAGGCAACCACCGCCAUAAUUUCCAGUUGACAAAUGAGAAAACUGAAGGUCACACAGCAUGAGAAGAACAUGCUUAGGCAGUUACCAGUCCAAGCGGCAUGGAGACACACAAGUGCGUUGGGAUCCAAGUGCAGCUUGGAGCCAAGCACAGCUGAACGUAGCCCAGAUCUGCUGGCCCCAGCUGACACUGUUCUCCUGGGGGUCCAUCUUCAGUAAUCCACAUGAUCCUGAAUCCUGGCUUCGGGCUCUGCUUCUUGGGGACACAGAUUCCCUUGAGGGUUAUUUCCUAUCAUCACGGUCCAGGAUUGUGAAAAUAUCUUUAAGAAAAAAAUAUUUUUCAUCAGUGCCUACAACAAAUGAAUCACACAGACAAUUUGCUACAACGGGCUUUUUCUUUUUGUGCAAAGGCAAGAAAUCCUGAGUGGGGAAGCUGAGACUUCACCAGCCUUGUGGUUCUGAAAUUGCUCACCCAGACAUGAAACAAAAUUGAAAAAUCAGAAAGAUCAGUUUGAAAGGAAGAGAAUGCUUGAUGGCCUGGGAACCAAGUGAGCGCUCAUUUUGCUUUUGUGCUAUUAGAUGAAGAUACCUGGAUCAAAAGAGGACUCGGAAACAUAAACAUCAAGGAAUUGACAGGCAGGGCUAAAAGACUCGGGCAAAAUGUUUAUCAUACAACAGCAAAAAAAAAAAAAAAAAAAAAAAAAGCAAAACCAAAAA